CCCCCUCCCCCCCCACGGGGGACUUCAGUGCUGGCUGUCGUAAUAACUGAGCAGUUACUGUGACGCAACGGAGGUCGUGGUGGUGAAGUGUGAUGAUGUCAUCAACAUGUGACCGUCGCUGCCCGAGGAACACGGUGAUGACAGGAUGGAUCCUAAUGUACAGAGGUGUAAACAGAGCGGCCGCUCUAAUCCUCCGAGCCUCUCUGCGUGUCUGACUCUGAACAAACUGUGGUGAUGAAUCUGCUGACCUUUGACCCCCCCAAGGAUGGAUGACGCUCAGAGGACCACCGGUUUGGAGCCCAGGAAACUGAGCCGUGCGGCGGGACAGUCAGAAGAGAGUCUCAGUGAACUCCUCAGAGUAAACGAUCUCAUUGGAGAUGAUGGUUCAGUUGAGGAGCGCAAACACAGACGGAGCUGUGAUCAGGUCCACCCCUCACCCAGGGAGGAAACCCUCAACGGGAAAAAAUCUCAAUAGUUAAAGGUCGUAACAUUUGUCUGACCCUUCGUCUAAUCUGUGUUUUUGACUUGUUUACACAACUGGAUGUUAGUGGUUAGUUUUCACUGGAAGGAAAUGCACCUGAUUAACAAACAGCUAUUCUCUUCUCACUCAGCGUCCGAUGACGAACAUUACUGUUCAUGUUGAUUCUAUUGAAACCCAUGUUUUAAA